UGGGGANNCUUCCGCAAUGGGCGAAAGCCUGACGGAGCAACGCCGCGUGAGUGAAGAAGGAUUUCGGUUCGUAAAGCUCUGUUGUUAGGGAAGAAUGAUUGUGUAGUAACUAUACACAGUAGAGACGGUACCUAACCAGAAAGCCACGGCUAACUACGUGCCAGCAGCCGCGGUAAUACGUAGGUGGCAAGCGUUGUCCGGAAUUAUUGGGCGUAAAGCGCGCGCAGGUGGUUUAAUAAGUCUGAUGUGAAAGUCCACGGCUCAACCGUGGAGGGUCAUUGGAAACUGUUAAACUUGAGUGCAGGAGAGAAAAGUGGAAUUCCUAGUGUAGCGGUGAAAUGCGUAGAGAUUAGGAGGAACACCAGUGGCGAAGGCGGCUUUUUGGCCUGUAACUGACACUGAGGCGCGAAAGCGUGGGGAGCAAACAGGAUUAGAUACCCUGGUAGUCCACGCCGUNNCGAUGAGUGCUAAGUGUUGGUCUCAUAAGAGAUCAGUGCUGCAGCUAACGCAUUAANCACUCCGCCUGGGGGAGUACNACCGCAAGGNUGA
rnacentral:rRNA from 1 species